AUUUUGAUUUGAUUUAGUUUAGGAAACCAAAUUAAAACAAGUCAUAAGACAGAAUCCUAGUAAGACUAGGAUUCCACCUUGCGCCACAUAAGCCUUCUCCACGCCCUCUCUCUUAUUCAACGCCAAUCUCCACUUAUUUUGUGCGAUGAAAGCCCUCUCUCAGAUCUCUCCCACGUUCAUAAAAGGUCUCCUCUCUUCUUUCUUACAUGGAGGGUGUUUUGGAUCAAAUCUAAAAGGAAUAAGUUUGGAUUUCGAAUUCUAUGAGAUAGAGUUUUAGAAAUCCAAAACUCUUUCAAUUUUGCACCGAAUUUAUCCAAAUUUUUUUUGGAAUUUUCAUGGCUACAUUGUACACCCUUUUCUGUUGAUCCAUACAUGAAAAUAUGAAGGAGGUGCUCAAGAGUUGGGCGUCCCUUAACUUGCCAUGUUUGGAUAAGCCUUGACUAGGUGUUUGACCUAGACAAGGACUCUAUCAUAUCUCUCUGUAUAAGAUGAGUUUCUUCAUAAAAGUUUAGAAAAAAUUAGAGAUUUGAGGGACCUUUGUGUCACCCAAAAAUUAGAGAGAAAUACCUUUGGGUCAUGGAGAUAUAAAAGACGCAAGUUUGGGUGUCUAGAGAGAAAAACGUGAAGAAGAAGAGGGUCUUCUUCUUGGGUUUUUGUUUUCACAUCUUUCCUCCCUCCAUCUUGAGUUUCCUGAGAGUGUCUCAGAUCUGAAACUCCUCCUUCUACUUUUCAUCUUUGGAAGAGUCCAAAUCAAGAAGAAGGAGGCACCUGAUCAACCAUUAAAGAAGGAUCAGCGC
rnacentral:lncRNA from 1 species